rnacentral:rRNA from 1 species
UACGUAGGCAGCAAGCGUUGUUCGGAAUUACUGGGCGUAAAGAGUGUGUAGGCGGUGUUCUAAGUUUGUCGUGAAAUCUCCCGGCUUAACUGGGAGGGUGCGGCGAAAACUGGAAUGCUAGAGGAUGGGAGAGGUAAGCGGAAUUCCUGGUGUAGCGGUGAAAUGCGUAGAGAUCCGGAGGAACACCAAAGGCGAAGGCAGUGUCCUGGGGAGUACCUGACGCUCAGGUGCGAAAGCCAGGGGAGCGAACGGG